UAUUUCAGUGAGUUAAAGUUUGAUUUGGUUAUUAGGGAUAACUUAAAGUUUAUUUAAGGCUCUAUUAGACUUGGUAGGAUUGUUGUUACAUUGUUAUUUAUCUUCCAUAGCUAGGUGCCUAAUGUCAUGUGAUAACACAAUUAUAUAGUAAAAAAUAAAAAUAUGGAUAUUAUUAUAAAAGAACCUAGUAGAAAGAUGUAAUAAAAAAAUAGGAUACAUGAUAGAAAGGAAGUAAAAGAUUUGGUCUUAAUGUUGUCUUUUUAAGGAAGGUACUUCUAUUUAUUUUGUAAAAGCAUAAAUGAUCCAAAUCAAGGAAAUAAAAUUAAAAAAAUAAUAUAGUCAUGUGUAGGCAAGAAUUAAGAGUAUAUUUUAGCAAAUUGUUUUUCAAGAAACCAAGAAUUGAUAUCUAGAAAGGACCAAUUGUCAACCUAAGUCGAAAUCAGAUCUUGAGGCACAAAAUUACACACCCAUAGUGACUUUAAAGUUCUUUGGUAGAUUGGAGAGCAAGAUUUGACACCAAACUUGAGAAAAGAUUUUUGGGCAUUAGUUUUAUAUCAAUUGAGUCUAUAUUGAGUUUUUGAGGGAUUUUCAAAGUUAGUGAUGUUCUUGGUUGGUUUAGAUUUUGAGAAAUAAAAAUAUGUUUAUAAAUUUGAGGGUUUCAUGAGUUCUAUGGUAUUUAUACAAGUGAACUUGGAAAAAGUAUUGAUGUACUAGUUGUAAAUGUAUGUGCAAAUUUUGAAGUCAAUCAUAUUAUUAGAUCAAAGUGUGUGAAGGUUUUUGUGGGUUGAGGUCUCAAAAAUUGGAGUUUGAAGGUCAAUGUGUAUUUUUAAGUU
rnacentral:lncRNA from 1 species